CCCUUAGAUGUUCUGGGCCGCACGCGUGCUACACUGAGUCAAUCAAUGGGUAAGGGAACACGAAAGUGCAACCUAAUCUUCAAAUUUGCUCGUGAUGGGGAUCGACGGUUGCAAUUUUCCGUCGUGAACGAGGAAUACCUUGUAGGCGCGUGUCAUCAUCACGCGCCGAAUACGUCCCUACCCUUUGUACACACCGCCCGUCGCUCCUACCGAUUGAGUGAUCCGGUGAGGCUCUGGGACCUGGACGGAAAGAGCGUUUCGCUUGUUCUGUUUGGGAAACUUGGUCGAACCUUAUCAUUUAGAGGAAGGAGAAGUCGUAACA
rnacentral:rRNA from 1 species